UAAUACAGAGCCAGGCACGAGGGUGAAGAGGAGAAAACAUGAGAGGAGGAAGGGAGACCAGAGUGGUUUAUCAGGAGGGAAAUAGGAGAUAUAGAAUUCAAGUUCUGAUGGACAGAAUCAGGACGGACCAUGGGAUAAAAGGUCAAUGAGAUUAGCAGUAAAGAAGAGCUAAGUGGAUCAAAAGAAAGUUAUGGAAAACGCAAGGGGGGAGGGCAAUACUCAGAGGCAGAAGAAGACAAGAUAAACAGAGACCAAGAGAAAAGAGGUGAAACCGUUUCAUAAGAGUAAUAGAGAGGAGAUGGACAUAUGGGCAAAUUAGCUAUCCCAACUGGAACCUAGCUAAUGCAUUCCGAAGAGGCAGACUUCCAGUCUGAGGUAGAUGAAAAGAGCAGCCAUAGAAACAGAUCUGUAGAUGCAUCAAUUGGAAAGGAUGGGAGGGUUGGAGGAGGAGCACAUUUGGAUGACUACAUUAGAUUGUGGCAUAUGAGGUCACUUUAUCUGAUGAAGCAUCAAUAGGAGAGGAUGAAAGGGAGGGAGGGAGAGGAAAAGACAGAAGAACAGAUGAGGUAAGUGCUUGGGCUUGUGAUAAGAGGAUGGGGGCUCCAGAACUCGGCUUCAUGAUUUAAAAUGAUAAGACAAAUGUAUUACUGUGAAUCCCAUUCGUUCAAUGACUGUUUGUUGUUUUACAGGAGCACUAUGUUCUGCUUCCGUGUGGAUUGACAGCAUUGCUUUAAUGAGCUGCUGGAGGGCACAAUGGAGGAAGAGGGAGAGCGUCCAUUAUAGGCAGUUUGCCAUGGCCCUAAAUGGGCUUUUGGAUGUUCAUUUUUCCUGCUUUAUAUCAUACAACUUUACAAUAAAAAUUAAUUGCAAGCA